CCGGACGGCUUCCCGACUGCGGUAUCGCUGUGCCCACUGCAGUAUGCCGCUGUUUCUCAGCUUUCCGCCACGAUCCCUCCGUGAGGUCCUCGCUAAGAAGAGCGCUCCGCCGGCACCGCUGUGCCCUCAGCCCGGCCCUUCUCUGCCCCUCUCCCCGCACACGAUGGGCGCAGUCCCGCACCUCCACGGUGCUAAGGGAGAAAGAGAGCGGCGGAGCCCUUCCCCGCCCCGAGAGGCGACGGCGCGCGAAGGAGACGAAGAACGGCAGUCUCAGAGAGGUAAUGCCGGGGGCAGCGGGAAAGGGCCGAGCGGGGAAAGGAGCCCGAGCCCACGGGAGGGGCCCCGGGCGGUCCGCGCUGAGGGCGGCGGUGCCGUCCCGCUGUGCCGCGAGCUGAGGCGGAGGGAAGAGAGCGGCGGGAGUGAGCGGGGAGCUGUGCUGAGUGUCCUCCUGCGGGAGAAGGGGCGGGGACGGGGCUGGGAUGGCACCGAGAGCGUUG
rnacentral:lncRNA from 1 species